rnacentral:rRNA from 1 species
GAUGAACGCUGGCGGCGUGCCUAAUACAUGCAAGUCGAGCGAACGGACGAGAAGCUUGCUUCUCUGAUGUUAGCGGCGGACGGGUGAGUAACACGUGGAUAACCUACCUAUAAGACUGGGAUAACUUCGGGAAACCGUAGCUAAUACCGGAUAAUAUUUUGAACCGCAUGGUUCAAAAGUGAAAGACGGUCUUGCUGUCACUUAUAGAUGGAUCCGCGCUGCAUUAGCUAGUUGGUAAGGUAACGGCUUACCAAGGCAACGAUGCAUGGCCGACCUGAGAGGGUGAUCGGCCACACUGGAACUGGGACACGGUCCAGACUCCUACGGGAGGCAGCAGUAGGGAAUCUUCCGCAAUGGGCGAAAGCCUGACGGAGCAACGCCGCGUGAGUGAUGAAGGUCUUCGGAUCGUAAAACUCUGUUAUUAGGGAAGAACAUAUGUGUAAGUAACUGUGCACAUCUUGACGGUACCUAAUCAGAAAGCCACGGCUAACUACGUG